rnacentral:rRNA from 1 species
UACGGGGGGAGCAAGCGUUGUUCGGAUUUACUGGGCGUAAAGGGCGCGUAGGCGGCCAGCACACGUCAGUUGUGAAAUCUCCGAGCUUAACUCGGAAAGGUCAACUGAUACUGUGCGGCUAGAGUGCGGAAGGGGCAACUGGAAUUCUUGGUGUAGCGGUGAAAUGCGUAGAUAUCAAGAGGAACACCUGCGGCGAAGGCGGGUUGCUGGGCCGACACUGACGCUGAUGCGCGAAAGCUAGGGGAGCAAACAGG